rnacentral:rRNA from 1 species
GACGAACGCUGGCGGCGUGCUUAACACAUGCAAGUCGAACGGAAAGGCCCUGCUUUUGUGGGGUGCUCGAGUGGCGAACGGGUGAGUAACACGUGAGUAACCUGCCCUUGACUUUGGGAUAACUUCAGGAAACUGGGGCUAAUACCGGAUAGGAGCUCCUGCUGCAUGGUGGGGGUUGGAAAGUUUCGGCGGUUGGGGAUGGACUCGCGGCUUAUCAGCUUGUUGGUGGGGUAGUGGCUUACCAAGGCUUUGACGGGUAGCCGGCCUGAGAGGGUGACCGGCCACAUUGGGACUGAGAUACGGCCCAGACUCCUACGGGAGGCAGCAGUGGGGAAUAUUGCACAAUGGGCGGAAGCCUGAUGCAGUAACGCCGCGUGCGGGAUGGCGGCCUUCGGGUUGUAAACCGCUUUCGCCUGUGACGAAGCGUGAGUGACGGUAAUGGGUAAAGAAGCACCGGCUAACUACGUG